AUGGCUCACAGACCAACCCCUCAGGACUGCAGUGGGAGGAAUGCAAUGGAGCCCAUUCUUCUUUUCUGGUUCAUGUACUCUAAUCAAAGACACCACUCAAUAGUGCACAGUGUGUGGAGAAGGAGAUGGAAGAUGCAAGGAGUAUGAAUGUGGGCACUUUUUAAAAAAUUUCACCCAAGAGAAAUAUACAGUCAUUUGUCAGACCAGUGAUUUUACACUGUCACAUGCUAUAACUGCCAAGAAACACAUACACACACAGGAAGUACUUCAUAGUGAGGUAUGUAAAAAUAUCAGAAGGGGUAUAAUUGAGUGACUAUGGCUAAUCACACACAUUUUCCAGCAUGCAGCAUGGCAUUUGAAUUUUUCUAGUAUAUCAGCGUUAUGUUAAAUAUAUCAAGAG